GUUGGUAAGGUAACGGCUUACCAAGGCUAUGAUGCCUAGGGGCUCUGAGAGGAGUGACCCCCACACUGGUACUGAGACACGGACCAGACUCCUACGGGAGGCAGCAGUAGGGAAUAUUGGUCAAUGGGCGGGAGCCUGAACCAGCCAUGCCGCGUGCGGGAAGAAGGCCCUAUGGGUCGUAAACCGCUUUUAUACGGGAACAACCGCAGCUACGUGUAGCUGUCUGAGUGUACCGUAGGAAUAAGGAUCGGCUAACUCCGUGCCAGCAGCCGCGGUAAUACGGAGGAUCCGAGCGUUAUCCGGAAUUAUUGGGUUUAAAGGGUGCGUAGGCGGCACUUUAAGUCAGGGGUGAAAUACAGCGGCUCAACCGUUGCAGUGCCCUUGAUACUGAAGUGCUUGAAUGUGGACGAAGGAGGCGGAACGGGACAAGUAGCGGUGAAAUGCAUAGAUAUGUCCCAGAACCCCGAUUGCGAAGGCAGCUUCCUAGGCCAUAAUUGACGCUGAUGCACGAAAGCGUGGGGAUCGAACAGGAUUAGAUACCCUGGUAGUCCACGCCCUAAACGAUGAUGACUCGAUGUUUGCGAUAUA
rnacentral:rRNA from 1 species